CUCAAUGUGCUUCAAAGGUCCCCUUUAUUUGCAAGACUAGCUUCAGGUGAUGCUCCAACUUGCAAUUACAAGGUUAUGGACAAUGAGUACACAAUGAGAUACUAUCUCACCAGUGGCAUUUAUCCUGAGUGGGCAACACUUAUGAAUUUCAUUAAAGAGAAGGGAGGGGUGCCCUUAUCCCAAAAAGAAGCUAAUUUCACGAGGGCACAAGAAUCAGCCCGCAAAGACAUUGAGAGAGCUUUCGGUGUUUUGCAAGCAAGAUUUGCCAUUGUUCGGGGUCCAGCUCAUUUUUGA
rnacentral:rRNA from 1 species